AUUGCCUUAGUAACGGCGAGUGAAGCGGCAAAAGCUCAGAUUUGAAAUCUGGCGUCAUUUUGGCGUCCGAGUUGUAAUCUGUAGAGGUGUAUUCGAGUGUGGCUUUGGCUUAAGUUCCUUGGAACAGGACGUCAUAGAGGGUGAGAACCCCGUUAACGGCCUUUGUCUUAUGCUCAUGUGAAUCUCCUUCAACGAGUCGAGUUGUUUGGGAAUGCAGCUCUAAAUGGGUGGUAAAUUCCAUCUAAAGCUAAAUACUGGCAAGAGACCGAUAGCGCACAAGUAGAGUGAUCGAAAGAUGAAAAGAACUCUGAACAGAGAGUUAAAUAGUACGUGAAAUUGUUGAAAGGGAAGCACUUGCGACCAGACGCACCUGCAGCUGAUCAACUUCCAUUCUUGGAGGUGCACUCAGUUGUUUGUGGGUCAGCAUCAGUUAUGGCGGUGGGAAAAAGACCAAGGGAAUGUAGCUCCUUUCGGGGAGUGUUAUAGCCCUUGGUGUAAUGCUGCCUGCUGUGACUGAGGACUGCGCUU
rnacentral:rRNA from 1 species